GAUGAAGAACGCAGCGAAAUGCGAUACGUAAUGUGAAUUGCAGAAUUCAGUGAAUCAUCGAGUCUUUGAACGCACAUUGCGCCCUCUGGUAUUCCGGAGGGCAUGCCUGUCCGAGCGUCAUUGCUGCCCUCAAGCACGGCUUGUGUGUUGGGCUCCGUCCCCCGAUCCCGGGGGACGGGCCCGAAAGGCAGCGGCGGCACCGCGUCCGGUCCUCGAGCGUAUGGGGCUUUGUCACCCGCUCUGUAGGCCCGGCCGGCGCUUGCCGAUCAACCAAAUUUUUAUCCAGGUUGACCUCGGAUCAGGUAGGGAUACCCGCUCAACUUAAGCAUAUCAAUAAGCGGAGGA
rnacentral:misc_RNA from 1 species